rnacentral:lncRNA from 15 species
AUGAGGUCCACUCUGUUUCUGCUUCUGUUCUUUGAUCUGUCUCCAGCCAUCAGUCGGGGACAGUUGGAGGAGGAAGGUGGCAUGGGGACGGUGGUCCCUCCGGAGCUCCCUCCGGAGCUCCCCGUCCUUUGGGAUGAGCUGUGGGGUUUAAAGGAGCUGGUCCUGAGCCUGAAGGCGGUGGAGGUAGCGCAGCGUCAGGCCCUGCGGAGCAUGGAGAGUCGGCUGAGGGACGGGGAGGUGGAGGCUGAGCAGCAGAAACGCAGCCUGGAUGCGCUGCAGGAUAUGGCAGUCCGGCAGAGGGAGCAGCUGAGGGACUCUGAGGAGAGGACGGAGGCUGACAAGAAGCUUCUAAACCAGCUGACCUCAGGUUUGAGGGGGAGGCUGGAGGAACUGGAGGAGGAGAGCAGAGCUCGAGCACUCGAGUUUUCAGCUCAAGUGUUGACGCUUUGGUCCCAACUGAACACCAGUGAGGGUGCCGUGGAGGAGCUACAGAAGAAGAACACAGCAUUGGCGGCGGAGCUGCCAUUCCUGCAGACGAGACUGAGGGCGAGCGAGAGCACGGUGGAGCAGCUGAGGAGGAAGAGCACAGGUCAUCAAACACAUUAAAUACAUUAAAUUAAUUUACUGAUAAUUUAUUUCUUAACAUAUUGUAUUUCAUAUAUUUUGUUGAAUGUAUUGUAUUUAAACCGAGCGAUGAGGUAAAGAAACGUUGUGUUUUCAGUCCUGGCAGUCAGACUGUGUAACACUGAGAGUCUGAUGGAGGAGCUGAUGAAACAGACCUCAGGUCAGAUUCAUUUCUCUGUUAUUGAUUAUCUAUAAUCCGCAUAUCAACAUGCAAUAACUGCUUAAUAACAGACUAUAAUACAGUUUUAAGUCUUAAUGAAUGUGUUAACAUCUGGAACUGUUAAUGAAUGAUAAUAUAACUUAAAAUAAGUCUUCAUAGGAGAAAUGAUGAAAUAACAUACAUUAAUAAACACUUAAAUAUGUUUUUAUAUCUGCCUAUAAAACAAUAAAGACAUUAAAGAGUUGAUGAUGAUUUAAUUUUGGCUGGCAGAACAGAAAGUUCUAUGUUUUCUAGGAAAGUUUUGGAUUUAAAUGUUGAACUAUGUUGAAAUUGAUAAUCUUGUCGAUAGUGCUACAGGCUCACUACGAUCAACAUUAGACUCUAUCGCUCCUAUAAAAAGGAAAUUAUUAAAACAUAGGAGACUAGCACCUUGGUAUAACCACCAAACCCGCCAGUUAAAACAAAUAGCUAGAAAAUCUGAAAGGAAAUGGCGCUCUUCCAAAUUAUCCGAAUAUCGCUCAAUUUGGCAAGAUAAUCUUAAAACCUAUAGAAAGGCCCUCCGUAAUGCCAGAGGAGCCUAUUACUCAGCACUAAUAGAAGAAAAUAAGAACAACCCUAGGUUCCUCUUCAGCACUGUAGCCAGGCUGACAGAGAGUCACAGCUCUAUCCAGCCACAUAUCCCCAUAAACUUAAGUAGCAAUGACUUCAUGAGCUUCUUCUAUAAUAAAAUUAUUACUAUUAGAGAAAAAAUUAAUCACCAACUGCCAUCAACAGUUAUCAGUGGCUCUCCAAGUUCAGGGACUUCUGUCAAUGUAAACUUAGAUAUAUAUUUAGACUGUUUUUCUGCUAUCGAUCUUCAUCAGUUAACUUCAAUCAUUUCUUCAUCGAAGCCAUAAACCUGUCUAUUAGACCCGAUCCCAACUAGGCUGCUUAAAGAAGUUGUUCCCUUAAUUGGCACUUCUUUACUGGAUAUGAUUAAUCUUUCUUUAUUAUCAGGAUAUGUACCACAGUCCUUUAAAGUAGCUGUAAUUAAACCCCUUCUUAAAAAGCCCACUCUUGACCCAGGGGUUUUAGCCAACUAUAGACCGAUUUCUAAUCUCCCCUUCCUCUCUAAGAUUCUGGAGAAAGUAGUCGCCAAAGAGUUCUGUGACUUUCUACAUAACAAUAGUUUAUUGAGGAUUUCAGUCAGNNNNNNNNNNNNNNNNNNNNNNNNNNNNNNNNNNNNNNNNNNNNNNNNNNNNNNNNNNNNNNNNNNNNNNNNNNNNNNNNNNNNNNNNNNNNNNNNNNNNAGACUUUAAACUACAGCCAAUAUCACACUGCGUCUUUAACCCUUUAAACUACAGCCACUAUUACACUGCGUCUUUAAACUACAGCCACUAUUACACUGCGUCUUUAAAGUACAGCCACUAUUACACUGCGUCUUUAAAGACUUUAAACUACAGCCAAUAUCACUCUGCGUCUUUAAACUACAGCCAAUAUCACACUGCAUCUUUAAACUACAGCCACUAUUACACUGCGUCUUUAAAGACUUUAAACUACAG